GGGGGGGGGGGGGGGGGGGGGGGGGGGGGGCGGGGCGGGCGAGCGGGCGGGGGGGGUGCUCCUGUGACGUGAGCGGCGGACGGGUGAGGAACACGUGGAUAACCUACCUAUAGGACGGGGAUAACUUCGGGAAACCGGAGCUAAUACCGGAUAAUAUAUGGAACCGCAUGGUUCAAUAGUGAAAGACGGUUUUGCUGUCACUUAUAGAUGGAUCCGCGCCGCAUUAGCUAGUUGGUAAGGUAACGGCUUACCAAGGCAACGAUGCGUAGCCGACCUGAGAGGGUGAGCGGCCACACUGGAACUGAGACACGGUCCAGACUCCUACGGGAGGCAGCAGUAGGGAAUCUUCCGCAAUGGGCGAAAGCCUGACGGAGCAACGCCGCGUGAGUGAUGAAGGUCUUCGGAUCGUAAAACUCUGUUAUUAGGGAAGAACAAAUGUGUAAGUAACUAUGCACGUCUUGACGGUACCUAAUCAGAAAGCCACGGCUAACUACGUG
rnacentral:rRNA from 1 species